AGGUACUUAAUACAUGCAAGUCGGAGGGGGCAGCUAGUGGUGUAGCAAUACACUGAGUGGCGACCGGCGAAACGGGUGACGGAACACGUACAGAACCUUCCUUCGAGGCGGGGAAUAGCCCAGAGAAAUUUGGAUUAAUACCCCAUAGUACAUUGAGGCGGCAUUCGUUUUAAUGUUAAAGAUUUAUCACUUGAAGAUGGCUGUGCGGCUGAUUAGGUAGUUGGCGGGGUAACGGCCCACCAAGCCUGCGAUCAGUAACUGGUGUGAGAGCACGACCAGUCACACGGGCACUGAGACACGGGCCCGACUCCUACGGGAGGCAGCAGUAAGGAAUAUUGGUCAAUGGACGAAAGUCUGAACCAGCCAUGCCGCGUGGAGGAUGAAGGUCCUCUGGAUUGUAAACUUCUUUUAUAUGGGACGAAAAAAGGGCUUUCUAGCUCGUCUGACGGUACCAUAUGAAUAAGCACCGGCUAACUCCGUG
rnacentral:rRNA from 1 species